ACCGAGUGGUUAAGGCGAUGGACUAGAAAUCCAUGGGGGUCUCCCCGCACAGGUUCAAAUCCUGU
rnacentral:tRNA from 1 species